UACAGAGGGUGCGAGCGUUAAUCGGAAUUACUGGGCGUAAAGCGCACGUAGGUGGCGACGUAAGUCGGGUGUGAAAUCCCUGGGCUCAACCUGGGAACGGCAUUCGAUACUGCGGUGCUUGAGGACUGGAGAGGAGACUGGAAUUCAUGGUGUAGCAGUGAAAUGCGUAGAGAUCAUGAGGAAGACCAGUGGCGAAGGCGGGUCUCUGGACAGUUCCUGACACUGAGGCACGAAGGCCAGGGGAGCAAACGGG
rnacentral:rRNA from 1 species